ensembl:lncRNA
CUUUAAUAUCUUGUAACGUUUCUAAUCCCUGUCUUCCACAUCGUUCAUCCACCAGCCUGACCAGACCCUCACCUGAAAAUCAGUCUGUUCAGGAUUCCACAGUUUUUUUUCUGCUUGUUGCGGCCAUAAAUAUUUGAUAUUGCUGCGUGUUUUUUCAAAAUUUGCAAUAGCUUUUUUUAUGCUUUUUCUCCUUGCCCCCCCACCCCAACCUCGAAAACUACUUGAAUUGGCUGUUUGUGAUGUUUGUUGGUAAAUGAGACCUUUUUCACUUUACUCAUGUUCUACGCACGUGAAUCGAGGAGAGCUUCGGCUGAAUCUGCUGUGUGAUGACGUCGCAAGCUCCUCGGAAUAUUGCAGAGUUUGCUUGAUUUUGUGUUCAUUUCUGCCAUCGCAAAAUCCGGGAGCUACAGUAAGAUAUUUUUCCGGAUUUGGUACUUUGAAGACUUCGUUAUCCUAAGAAAUUGGUGGAAGACCAUACUGUAAGACCAAACACGAAUAAAUUACUCCUGGAAGAAACACCGCUUCACCGAAAGGGAAAAGGAUGCAGGGUGUGAACCAGGCAUGUGUUUGAUGUGUGACAGCAUCCUCAGUGCUAACAGCCUUUUAUAUUAGAAUAGACAAGCUGAUGUCUAAUGAUGUAGUGUUUAGUAGAAACUUUGGGUUGAAAAUGCUCUAAAUGUCCUCUAAUCCUGUGUUCCUUCACAUCACCAGGUCAGAGCUCAUCUUCAGAUCACUGAGCCAUCCGAUUAUUCUGUAUAAAAGGGAUUAUUUAUAGGUGUUUAACUUUACAUCACACACAAAGUAUGUGAUUAAAAAAAAAUAAUAUAAUAAUAAAAAAAAAAUAAAAUCUUUAUUUAAAAAAUAGAAUUGCUUGAAGACUUGAACCGUAAUCCUUAUGCUAAAGCAC